AUUUGGGGUAUUAUAACAGUUUGACUGUUCAAAAAAUCCCCACAAAGGCCUACCAUUUGUAAAAGUAGACACUCCAGGGUAUCUUAUAAGGUGCAUAUUGUGCCUUAACAUGCCCCCAUUUUUUCACCAAUAUAUGCCAAAGUAUGUGGUAAAAAAUAAUUUUGUGCAUUUUUUACAUACGUAUUGCAUUUUUGCUGGGCGUUUUGUAUAUUUCAUAUGUGCCACUAAGUUCAAACCCCCCAAAUUAUGCUCAGCUAAGUCUUCU